GCCGUCGUGGGCCAUGGCGGCCACCUGCCAACAUUGAAAUCUUGCCCCAGACGCACAAGUUGAAAGCGGGAGUCGGAGGUUCGAUUCCUCCCGACGGCA